ACACGACCGUACCGCAAACCGACACUGGUGCGCGAGAUGAGUAUUCUCAGGCGCUUGAGAGAACUCGGGAGAAGGAACUCGGCAAAUUGACACCGUAACUUCGGAAGAAGGUGUGCCUUUAGUAGGUGAAGUCCCUCGCGGAUGGAGCCCAAUGAGGUUGCAAAGAAUCGGUGGCUGCGACUGUUUAAUAAAAACACAGCACUCUGCAAACACGAAAGUGGACGUAUAGGGUGUGACGCCUGCCCGGUGCUGGAAGAUUAAGUGAUGGGGUGCAAGCUCUUGAUCGAAGUCCCAGUAAACGGCGGCCGUAACUAUAACGGUCCUAAGGUAGCGAAAUUCCUUGUCGGGUAAGUUCCGACCUGCACGAAUGGCGUAACGAUGGCCACACUGUCUCCUCCCGAGACUCAGCGAAGUUGAAAUGUUUGUGAUGAUGCAAUCUCCCCGCGGAAAGACGGAAAGACCCCAUGAACCUUUACUGUAGCUUUGUAUUGGACUUUGAACGGAUCUGUGUAGGAUAGGUGGGAGGCUUUGAAGCCGGGUCGCUAGAUCUGGUGGAGCCAACGUUGAAAUACCACCCUGGUGCGUUUGAGGUUCUAACCUAGGCCCGUUAUCCGGGCCGGGGACAGUGCAUGGUAGGCAGUUUGACUGGGGCGGUCUCCUCCCAAAGCGUAACGGAGGAGUUCGAAGGUACGCUAGUUACGGUCGGACAUCGUGACGAUAGUGCAAUGGCAUAAGCGUGCUUAACUGCGAGACUGACAAGUCGAGCAGAUGCGAAAGCAGGACAUAGUGAUCCGGUGGUUCUGUAUGGAAGGGCCAUCGCUCAACGGAUAAAAGGUACUCUGGGGAUAACAGGCUGAUACCGCCCAAGAGUUCAUAUCGACGGCGGUGUUUGGCACCUCGAUGUCGGCUCAUCUCAUCCUGGGGCUGUAGCCGGUCCCAAGGGUAUGGCUGUUCGCCAUUUAAAGAGGUACGUGAGCUGGGUUUAAAACGUCGUGAGACAGUUUGGUCCCUAUCUUCCGUGGGCGCUGCAGAUUUGAGGAAGCCUGCUCCUAGUACGAGAGGACCGGAGUGGACGCACCUCUGGUGUACCUGUUGUCACGCCAGUGGCAUUGCAGGGUAGCUAAGUGCGGAAGAGAUAACCGCUGAAAGCAUCUAAGCGGGAAACUCGUUUCAAGAUGAGAUCUGCCGGGGCCUUGAGCCCCCUGAAGAGUCGUUCUAGACCAGGACGUUGAUAGGUCAGGUGUGGAAGCGCAGUAAUGCGUUAAGCUAACUGAUACUAAUUGCUCGUGCGGCUUGACC
rnacentral:rRNA from 1 species